rnacentral:rRNA from 1 species
GAUCCUGGCUCAGGAUGAACGCUGGCGGCGUGCUUAACACAUGCAAGUCGAGCGAAGCAAUUUAAGUGAAGUUUUCGGAUGGAUCUUAGAUUGACUGAGCGGCGGACGGGUGAGUAACGCGUGGAUAACCUGCCUCACACAGGGGGAUAACAGUUAGAAAUGACUGCUAAUACCGCAUAAGCGCACGGUACCGCACGGUACAGUGUGAAAAACUCCGGUGGUGUGAGAUGGAUCCG